GCCUACGGGGGGCAGCAGUGGGGAAUAUUGGGCAAUGGGCGCAAGCCUGACCCAGCAACGCCGCGUGAAGGAAGAAGGCUUUCGGGUUGUAAACUUCUUUUAUUCGGGACGAAGAAAGUGACGGUACCGAAUGAAUAAGCCACGGCUAACUACGUGCCAGCAGCCGCGGUAAUACGUAGGUGGCGAGCGUUAUCCGGAUUCACUGGGCGUAAAGGGAGCGCAGGCGGCACGGCAAGUCCGGUGUGAAAGCCCGGGGCCCAACCCCGGGACUGCACUGGAAACUGCCGGGCUGGAGUGUCGGAGGG
rnacentral:rRNA from 1 species